rnacentral:rRNA from 1 species
GACGAACGCUGGCGGCGUGCUUAACACAUGCAAGUCGAACGGUAAGGCCCUUCGGGGUACACGAGUGGCGAACGGGUGAGUAACACGUGGGUGAUCUGCCCUGCACUUCGGGAUAAGCCUGGGAAACUGGGUCUAAUACCGGAUAGGACCACUGCCUGCAUGGGUGGUGGUGGAAAGCUUUUGCGGUGUGGGAUGGGCCCGCGGCCUAUCAGCUUGUUGGUGGGGUGAUGGCCUACCAAGGCGACGACGGGUAGCCGGCCUGAGAGGGUGACCGGCCACACGGGGACUGAGCUACGGCCCAGACUCCUACGGGAGGCAGCAGUGGGGAAUAUUGAAUAAUGGGCGCAAGCCUGAUGCAGCGACGCCGCGUGAGGGAUGACGGCCUUCGGGUUGUAAACCUCUUUCAGCACCGACGAAGCGCAAGUGACGGUAGGUGCAGAAGAAGGACCGGCCAACUACGUGCCAGCAGCCGCCGUAA